AGCAACGUAUUAUGCGUGCUUGAUAUCUCUUCGAUGGCAAGUCGUGUUGAAUGGCGGCUUCGGCGUGGUAGGCGCAACAUCCGGUUCCCUUGUUUUCAACAGCUUCCGGCGAGGUCCGGAAGAACAUAUCACGGUCUAAGUUAUCGGAGGAUCCUCCCUCCGCGUGCUCCCUGAGAUGUCCACUCUGGCGGCCGCCAGCUGUGACUCCGAGUCCUCGGAGAAACCUGCAGAGAAGAAGCCGCUGAAACCGUGCUGCGCAUGCCCGGAGACGAAGAAAGCCCGGGAUGCCUGCAUUAUUGAGAAAGGAGAAGAACACUGUGGACAUCUAAUUGAAGCUCACAAGGAGUGUAUGAGAGCCCUGGGUUUUAAAAUAUGAAUGAAAGAAGAAAUGUGAAUAUAUAUGAUGAGUGUGCGACUUUAGAAAAGAGAUUUUUAGGUUGCUGAUGUUGGAAGAAUAGUUCCUAAAGAAUGAAUAAUAUUAAAUUAUUUGGGGGCUUCUUUGAGGAAGAAAUUCCUAUGCGUAAAUAUUUAUAAUUUCUUUUCAAAAUAAAAUAUAUCUACACACCUGGUAAAA